AGUCGGUUCCAUAACACCGUGAAGAGAUGGGGGCUCGGUCUCUGUUUUGUGAUGCUGGUGCUCAGCUUCCCCUUUUUAUACAGCAGAUUUGAUACCCAUGAAGAAAACCCACCGGUGCCCAGAGAGAAAGAAGAGAGGAGGAACAUAGAUGGCGACCUUAACUUUGGGGCCAGACGGCAGGUUGAAACAAUCACAUCCUGGAAGGGCCCGAUCAUGUGGAAUGGGAUAUUUGACCGGAAUGCUUAUGACGAGCUGCAUAUUCAACUCCGGUCCUCCGUGGCUCUCACUGUGUUUGCU